GGGACGGUGGCUCAGUGGUAGAGUGCUUGCCUAGCAUGCAUGAAGCCCUGGGUUCGAUUCCUCAGUACCA
rnacentral:tRNA from 1 species